GAUGAACGCUGGCGGCGUGCCUAAUACAUGCAAGUCGAACGAGGUGCUUUUGUAGCAAUACGAGAGUAUCCUAGUGGCGAACGGGUGAGUAACGCGUUGGUGACCUACCCCAAAAUGUGGGAUAACAGCUCGAAAGGAUUGCUAAUACCGCAUGUGGUCUUCGGAUUUGGAAACUGAUGACUAAAGGAGUAAUCCGCUUUGGGAGGGACCUGCGUCCCAUCAGCUAGUUGGUGAGGUAACGGCUCACCAAGGCGACGACGGGUAGGGGACCUGAGAGGGUGGCCCCCCACAAUGGAGAUGAAACACGGUCCAUACACCUACGGGUGGCAGCAGUAGGGAAUAUUGCACAAUGGGCGAAAGCCUGAGGCAGCAACGCCGCGUGUGCGAUGAAGGCCUUCGGGUCGUAAAGCACUUUUCUGAGGGAUGAGAAAGGACAGUACCUCAGGAAUAAGUCUCGGCUAACUACGUGCCAGCCGCCGCAGUAACAC
rnacentral:rRNA from 1 species